rnacentral:misc_RNA from 1 species
UCCGAGUUGACCCCGGCAGUCUCCCGUGAGUCCCCACCACCCCCGAAGGAGCGUGCUGGCAACACAGGAUAAGGGUUGCGCUCGUUGCGGGACUUAACCCAACAUCUCACGACACGAGCUGACGACAGCCAUGCACCACCUGUAUACCGACCACAAGGGGGGCCGUAUCUCUACGGCUUUCCGGUAUAUGUCAAACCCAGGUAAGGUUCUUCGCGUUGCAUUGAAUUAAUCCACAUGCUCCGCCGCUUGUGCGGGCCCCCGUCAAUUCCUUUGAGUCUUAGUCUUGCGACCGUACUCCCCAGGCGGGGCACUUAAUGCGUUAGCGACGGCGCGGAUCUCGUUGGUUGAGACCCACACCUAGUGCCCAACGUUUACGGCGUGGACUAC